rnacentral:misc_RNA from 1 species
GUCGUUAUUUUUUUUUUUAUGUUUUAAUUUGGAUUGUUGGGUUUAUUUGUUCGUGCGUAUUUUCAAUUGGGUAUGCUUUAGUAUUCUUAUACGCACGGCUUGGUUAGUUUGAUGGAAAUAUGAGAUUUUGCAUGGAAAUAUGUCUUCUUUGAUGCUGUGAGAUUCUUCCCCCUCCUUUUGUCUCCAAAAUUUGAAGCUUUUUCGUCUCAAUUUCAAAAUUUUUCCUUCUUUUAUCUCUCUCGCUCUCUCUUUUUCUCUCUCCUCCAGCUAUUUAAUUGUACAUUAUUCUUAAUUUGUUUCUACUCAAUUCUGCCUCGAGUAAUAGUCAGAUGAUACAAGAAUAGUUAAGGAUGAAUCAAUUUGUGCAAUCAGCUUAUAUCUUUUCCCAGUUGAUAAUCUAAUAACCAGAAUUUAUUCUUUUGCUUACUGUAGGCCCGAGCAGUCUAUGGAUUUCAAAAGCAACACAUUUCUUUACUAUUACAUGUUUUAUUCAUUAAGAGAAAAGGAAAGAAAGGUUUAUUUCUUUUCCUUCUAUUUUCAGGUUGCCUUAGGUUAUCAAAGGAAGUAAAAUGUGGAAGACCCCUUUGAUUGGAUGGAAUUUAUAUCUUUGCA